UACCCGCUGAACUUAAGCAUAUCAAUAAGCGGAGGAAAAGAAACUAACAAGGAUUCCCCUAGUAACGGCGAGUGAAGAGGGAAGAGCUCAAAUUUUGAAUCUGGCGUCUUUGGCGUCCGAGUUGUAAUCUAGAGAAGUGUUUUCCGUGGCGGACCGUGCAUAAGUCUCCUGGAAUGGAGUGUCAUAGAGGGUGAGAAUCCCGUACAUGGCAUGGACUCCCGUUACUCUGCGAUACACUCUCGACGAGUCGAGUUGUUUGGGAAUGCAGCUCCAAAUGGGUGGUAAAUGCCAUCUAAAGCUAAAUAUGGGCGAGAGACCGAUAGCGAACAAGUACCGUGAGGGAAAGAUGAAAAGCACUUUGGAAAGAGAGUGAAACAGUACGUGAAAUUGUUGAAAGGGAAACGCUUGAAGUCAGUCACGCCCUUUGGGAUUCAGCCUUGCCUCUCUGCUCGGUUUACUUCCCGUUGGGUGGGUCAACAUCAGUUUCAGUCGGAGGAGAAAGACUUGGGGAAGGUAGCAGCAUUCGUGCUGUGUUAUAGACCCUUGUUGUAUACUUCGAUUGGGACUGAGGACCGCAGCACGCCUUUGGCCGGGGUUUACCCACGUACGUGCUUAGGAUGUUGGCAUAAUGGCUUUAAGCGACCCGUCUUGAAACACGGACCAAGGAGUCUAACAUGUGCGCGAGUGUUUGGGUGUUAAACUCGGACGCGAAAUGAAAGUGAAAAGUUGGGAACACAUAUGUGUGCACCGACGCCCGGAGCUGACCUUCUGUGACGCAUCUGCGGUAGAGCGUAUUUGUUGGGACCCGAAAGAUGGUGAACUAUGCCUGAAUAGGGUGAAGCCAGAGGAAACUCUGGUGGAGGCUCGUAGCGAUUCUGACGUGCAAAUCGAUCGUCAAAUUUGGGUAUAGGGGCGAAAGACUAAUCGAACCAUCUAGUAGCUG
rnacentral:rRNA from 1 species